rnacentral:rRNA from 1 species
GCAGUCGAACGCUUCUUUUCCCACCGGAGCUUGCUCCACCGGGAAAAGAGGAGUGGCUGAACGGGUGAGUAACACGUGGGUAACCUGCCCAUCAGAAGGGGAUAACACUUGGAAACAGGUGCUAAUACCGUAUAACAAUCGAAACCGCAUGGUUUCGUUUUGAAAGGCGCUUUACGGUGCCGCUGAUGGAUGGACCCGCGGUGCAUUAGCUAGUUGGUGAGGUAACGGCUCACCAAGGCCACGAUGCAUAGCCGACCUGAGAGGGUGAUCGGCCACAUUGGGACUGAGACACGGCCCAAACUCCUACGGGAGGCAGCAGUAGGGAAUCUUCGGCAAUGGACGAAAGUCUGACCGAGCAACGCCGCGUGAGUGAAGAAGGUUUUCGGAUCGUAAAACUCUGUUGUUAGAGAAGAACAAGGGUGAGAGUAACUGUUCACCCCUUGACGGUAUCUAACCAGAAAGCCACGGCUAACUACGUGCCAGCAGCCGCGGUAAUACGUAGGUGGCAAGCGUUGUCCGGAUUUAUUGGGCGUAAAGCGAGCGCAAGCGGUUUCUUAAGUCUGAUGUGAAAGCCCCCGGCUCAACCGGGGAGGGUCAUUGGAAACUGGGAGACUUGAGUGCAGAAGAGGAGAGUGGAAUUCCAUGUGUAGCGGUGAAAUGCGUAGAUAUAUGGAGGAACACCAGUGGCGAAGGCGGCUCUCUGGUCUGUAACUGACGCUGAGGCUCGAAAGCGUGGGGAGCAAACAGGAUUAGAUACCCUGGUAGUCCACGCCGUAAACGAUGAGUGCUAAGUGUUGGAGGGUUUCCGCCCUUCAGUGCUGCAGCUAACGCAUUAAGCACUCCGCCUGGGGAGUACGACCGCAAGGUUGAAACUCAAAGGAAUUGACGGGGGCCCGCACAAGCGGUGGAGCAUGUGGUUUAAUUCGAAGCAACGCGAAGAACCUUACCAGGUCUUGACAUCCUUUGACCACUCUAGAGAUAGAGCUUCCCCUUCGGGGGCAAAGUGACAGGUGGUGCAUGGUUGUCGUCAGCUCGUGUCGUGAGAUGUUGGGUUAAGUCCCGCAACGAGCGCAACCCUUAUUGUUAGUUGCCAUCAUUUAGUUGGGCACUCUAGCAAGACUGCCGGUGACAAACCGGAGGAAGGUGGGGAUGACGUCAAAUCAUCAUGCCCCUUAUGACCUGGGCUACACACGUGCUACAAUGGGAAGUACAACGAGUCGCGAAGUCGCGAGGCUAAGCUAAUCUCUUAAAGCUUCUCUCAGUUCGGAUUGUAGGCUGCAACUCGCCUACAUGAAGCCGGAAUCGCUAGUAAUCGCGGAUCAGCACGCCGCGGUGAAUACGUUCCCGGGCCUUGUACACACCGCCAGUCACACCACGAGAGUUUGUAACACCCGAAGUCGGUGAGGUAACCUUUUGGAGCCAGCC